ACGCUCGACACCUACGGGAGGCAGCAGUUGGGAAUAUUGGACAAUGGGGGAAACUCUGAUCCAGUGACGCCGCGUGAAGGAAGAAGGUCUUCGGAUUGUAAACUUAUUUUGUCAGGGAAGAAAAAUGACUGUACCUGAAGAAAAAGCACCGGCUAACUACGUGCUAGCAGCCGCGGUAAUCUGAGCGGGCUGGCAAGGC
rnacentral:rRNA from 1 species